rnacentral:rRNA from 1 species
AGCGAACGCUGGCGGCAGGCCUAACACAUGCAAGUCGAACGGAUCCUUCGGGAUUAGUGGCGGACGGGUGAGUAACACGUGGGAACGUGCCCUUUGGUUCGGAACAACUCAGGGAAACUUGAGCUAAUACCGGAUGUGCCCUUCGGGGAAAGAUUUAUCGCCAUUGGAGCGGCCCGCGUCUGAUUAGCUAGUUGGUGGGGUAAAGGCCCACCAAGGCGACGAUCAGUAGCUGGUCUGAGAGGAUGAUCAGCCACAUUGGGACUGAGACACGGCCCAAACUCCUACGGGAGGCAGCAGUGGGGAAUCUUGCGCAAUGGGCGAAAGCCUGACGCAGCCAUGCCGCGUGAAUGAUGAAGGUCUUAGGAUUGUAAAAAUUCUUUCACCGGGGACGAUAAUGACGGUACCCGGAGAAGAAGCCCCGGCUAACUUCGUG